rnacentral:rRNA from 1 species
CGUAACAAGGUCUCCGUUGGUGAACCAGCGGAGGGAUCAUUACCGAGUUUACAACUCCCAAACCCCAAUGUGAACGUUACCAAACUGUUGCCUCGGCGGGAUUUCUGCCCCGGGCGCGUCGCAGCCCCGGACCAAGGCGCCCGCCGGAGGACCAAUUUACAAACUCUUUUGUAUAUCCCAUCGCGGAUUCUUUACAUUCUGAGCUUUCUCGGCGCUCCUAGCGAGCGUUUCGAAAAUGAAUCAAAACUUUCAACAACGGAUCUCUUGGUUCUGGCAUCGAUGAAGAACGCAGCGAAAUGCGAUAAGUAAUGUGAAUUGCAGAAUUCAGUGAAUCAUCGAAUCUUUGAACGCACAUUGCGCCCGCCAGUAUUCUGGCGGGCAUGCCUGUCCGAGCGUCAUUUCAACCCUCGAACCCCUCCGGGGGGUCGGCGUUGGGGAUCGGCACUUACCUGCCGGCCCCGAAAUACAGUGGCGGUCUCGCCGCAGCCUCUCCUGCGCAGUAGUUUGCACACUCGCACCGGGAGCGCGGCGCGUCCACGGCCGUAAAACAACCCAAACUUCUGAAAUGUUGACC